UUGAGGUUGUGGCUGCCAAAGAGGUUACAGGCCGAGAAGAAGGGGUUUUGACGCGCUGUGUAGCUUUCGAGUUUCGACUAUUCGAGGAGACGAAUGACGAGGCUCACGAAGAGUUUUAUUACGUUUUGCUUAUUCUAUGUUAUUUUAGCUUUUAUUUAUUUAUCCCUCGCCAUUAAUAUUAUAUUUUAUAAG